UUUUUUUUUUUUUGAGGUCAAUUGGGAAGCAUGUAAAGAAACUAUUUUUAUUUACUAUCUUAAAUAUUUUAGUAAUUUUAAAGAAAUUACCUUAAUAAAUAAUGCUCUAUCACUCUUAUAACAUGUAAAAAAUUAAAAUUAAGUUUGAACACGCAUAAAAUAAAUAGACCUGCAACCCGCCCUCACCCCACAUUAGUUUUUAAAAGACCACUUUAACCCAUCUCGCAUUCCAUCCCACCCUGCACAACCUUGAAACAACCUUGUCUGGCUGUCCCUCAUAGCCUUAAACCCGCCUUGCCCCAUAACAACUAACUAAUGACAACUCUCUUUAACCUUUCCAAAUAUAAGCCGACAUACCUAAGGGAAAACAAAACUGAAUUGCCCCAAAGUCAGACAAAAUUAACAGUAAGUUAUGGCUGAUCACACAAUGCCAAAAGAAAAAUAGGAAGGUCACCCAAAAUGAGAUUUUUGUUUGCACCUUUUUAUAGAUCUUUUCUGAUGUGCAUUCCUUGAACCUUUUUAUUCAUGUAUUUAUUAUUUCUGAUUAAUUAGUCUACAUUUAAUUAUUCGAUGCAAUUCUUCCAAUUCUCCUAUUUAUUUAGCAAUGAAGAGGCUUAUUGCGUGUAUUGUAAAUGGCCAUUUUGAUUUGAUUAUAUGAAAUAUUAAAGUAGAACACCAAAACAUUAAAUUGGUAUGAAAGAUUGAAAAAUAAUGUUAAGGAAGUUGAAAAGAAACCAAAAUAUUGAGAAGAGGACAGUUUAAGGAAGAUUAAAAAGCUAGCAAUUCUAAAACAUUGAAUAUAGACUGCUAUAAUUGUGUGAUAAUUAAAAUAUUCCAAUUUAAUUAAAGUAGAUAUUUUAUUUAUUACAUUAGGGUGCAGUAAUUGUGUAAAAAUUUAAUUAUUAUUAUUAAUUAGAUAUUUUUAUUCAUAAAAUAUUUUUAUUUAGUAAAAAGGUAAAAUGGUAAUUCAACUUUGAAAAUAGGAGCUUUUUUCACUUUUAAUUAAAAAUAAUAAUAAUAUAAUAUUUAAUAUAAUAAUAAAUAUAGUAAAUAUAAUAAAAUAAUAAUAAUAAUUAAUAAUUAAUAAUAAUAAUAAUAAUAUAUGAUAUAUGAUUUUGUUUUCUCUAUUAUAUUCCACAUAUAUAUACUUUCUCUAUAAUUAUACUCUUUGACAAAUCAAAGUAGUCGUAAUUGAAGAAAUAUCAACUAAUAUCUACUUAUUGUUUAAUGAAAAAGACUCAAAUAUGUCAUCAAAUUUUAAGAAACAAUUCAUUUACGCCAUCUGUUAAAAAAUUUGCAUAUUUAUGUGCUGUUUGAGAAAAUGUUCAUCCAUGCCAUUAUUUUUUAAGUCCAAUUUUGCAAAACUAUUUUUUAUUAACAAGACCCUCAAACAACUUUUAACACUUUUCAAUUGUGGUUUUGGAUCAGAUGUACUCUUUUGCUUCUUCCUCCUCAAGAACACAUGACUAACAUCAAGAACUUCCAAAUUUUCAUCUUCUUCAAUUCUUCAUGAAAUUACCUCAAAUUUUGGCAACGUCAUUAUUUUUUUUUAAAAAGAAAAAUUCUAAAAUCAUUUGUAGAGUUAAAAAGAACCCACCCGUAUUAAAAAAUAUUCCAAAAAAGCGAAAUCACAAAAUUUUGAAAAUCUAUUUUGAUGUGUUUUGGUUGUUGUUUUUGACAAUAUUAGAUCUUUGUUCCCUAGUAUUUUUUUUGAAUCUAUGUCCAAAAUUUCAAGUGAUUUGGAGUUGUGGAGAAAAUUCUACCAUUAAAGGACGUUGAAGUUUUGAAGAAAUUUCAAGUGGACCUUGUUGAGUUAGGUUGAAUUCAAGCUCAAAAGAUAUUGAGGAUCCGAAGGAAAACUAUUCUUGAAAUUUGAGGUGAUUUCGUGAAGAAAUGAAGAAGUUGGAAAUUUGAGAGUUCAUGAUGUUCUUCAUAUAUUCUUGAGCAAGUAGAAGCAAAAAGAGUACAUUUGAUCCAAAGCUCCAAUUGAAAAGUGUUAAAAGUUGUUUAGGGGUCUUGUUGAGGUAAAAAUGAUUUUGCAAAAUUGAAGUUAAAAAUAAUGGCAUGAAUGCGUUUUUUCUCAAACGACAAUGACAUAGAUGAACCAAACUUUUAACGAAUGACAUAAAUGAGUCUUUUCUUACAAUUCGAUGAUCUAUUUGAGCUUUUUCCCUUGUUUAGUUACAUGAGGAAUUAUAUUGAUUAGAGUUGUUAUUUUUUAUCUUUGUAUAUAUGUAGCUUGCUUUUGUAGUAAGUCAUGCAGCGAUACCUCCAGAAGUUUAUUGGAAAACAAAAUUGCCCAACACUGAGUUGCCUAAAGUAAUCAAAGAUGUUCUUCCCCACACAGGUUUUUCGUCAACUCCACACAUUUUGUUUUAAUGUCAUGAGUGUAUAAUUUUGUAUAUACGACAUAAAAUGACUUCUCUAAAAAGAACACUAUUUUUCAUUAAAAAAAGUUAUUUGUGUAUUUGACACGACAUAAGACUUUUUUUUUAAUGAAAAUUAUUUUGAAAUAGGGAAAUGACUUCCGUCACUUUUGGGUGGAAGCUAUACUUAUUAUAACGAACUUGAUGUGUUUAAAAAUUUGAUAUAUGUAGAUCAUAAUACCAACAGUAAUCAGAAAGUAUACCGUGGUAACUUCGAUUAUGGAGUGUGGCCUUGGCAUCAUGCCGGUACGGAGGAAGAGAUUCGUGAGCUGAAAAACGAUGACAAUCAUUUUCUUUAUAAACCUUACUUCUUCGAAAAUGACUUGAAGAAAGGAAAUAUCAUCAACUUUCCCUUUUUGAAACAUAAAAAUGAUGCACCAUUUUUGCCUCGCCAAUCAACCAUUCCCUUCUCAUCGAAAAGAAUCCCAGAAAUUCUAAACCAUUUCUCAAUCGAUAGUAAGUCAAAGGAUGCUCAAACAAUCAAGGAAACAAUCGAUUUAUGUGAAGAGCCAGAUCUCCAUAAAGAGAAGAAAUUUUGUGCAACCUCGUUGGAGUCGAUGGUAGAUUUCAUGUUAUCCGAGCUAGGAACAAACAAUAUCCAAGCAAUUACAACAGAGGUUGAAGGGGAAAGUAGUCAAAUAUUUCAGAAAUAUACUAUGGAAAAAGUUGAACAAAUAGCGGAUGGGAACAACAUGGUAUGUCACAAAGUAAACUAUCCAUACGCUGUGCAUUAUUGUCAUGUUGGAGGAAGAACGAAGACAUUCAUGGUAUCUAUGAUAGGUGUUGAUGGAACAAAAGUGAAAGCACUAUCAGUAUGCCACCAAGAUACAUCUUUUUGGACUCCAAAGGGAUUACCUUUUGUAGUGCUCAAUGUUAAGCCUGGAACUACCCCUAUCUGUCAUUUCCUUUUAAAUGAUCAAAUUGUCAUUUUCCCUUCUAAAGAGGCCACUAAUUAGGCUAUUAUUUGUAUGAUAUAUCAGUAUAAUUAGUGAAAUGAAUAUGGGUUCAUGGUAUUUUUUUUGUGUGAGUUGCAUUAUGGCUCUCAUAUAUUGAUUAAAACCUUAUGAAAUAUUUUUGAGAUUUAUUUGUACGGCUCCACUGCUUCUUCGAAGCUAUCAGAAAAUCAGCACACUCCUCUGAACCAUCCAGGUAUGCUAGCUGCUGUAUCAAUCUCCUCCCUCCUCGUUUCUUACUUUUAAUUCCCCGAUUUUCUCUCAAGCUCUCCUUCUGCGAAAUUUCUGUUCGGCUGGCCUUGGCAAGUUCCCAUUCACUUCCUUUGGAGUUGCCCACAACACCACCCAGAGGCGAAUCCAGGAUUUGAAGAUGACGGGUGCACUACCAACGGUAAUGCACGUUAGUUAAAGUAUGUACCCAAUAUUGAUUUAUAUGAUAAUUUUAUUAAACAUAAAAAUAAAUUAAAUGACUCUAGUAGAUAAAGUUUGUUUUGUGUAGUGGUGGUUUUAAAUUUUACUUUGCAUCAUGAGGUCGCAAGUUCGAAACUAAUCAUGCCCUAUUUUAUUUGAUAUUUUUAAACUUCACAGCUAAAAACGAAAAAUAAGUAAAUGAGAUUCGAACCCAAUCCCUUCCACAAUAAGGUACAGCGUCUAAACCAGCUAACCCAACUGACUCUUGAGCAUUUGGGUGCCUAAUAAAAUAUAUGUCUAUUUUAAGGUAUAUAUAUAUAUAUAUAUAUACAUAAUAUUUCGAAGUUAACGGGUGCACGUGCACCCUCAACGAUACACGUGGGUCCGCCUGUGACACCACCCCGAAUCCCUUGAACCAUACAUGUAUGGCGUCAAACAUCAUUGCUUCUAAAAUCUCUUGCUUCCCUUCCUAACAUAUUCGACAUCAUCCAAGAACAACCCGAAACAACUAAUUUUACAUGAUAAAUUCAAUUCUUACUCUUACAUUUCCACUCCUGUCCAUACGUCAUGUUAUCCCUACUUAUAUUUGAUGGAGUCUGGCCUUUUCAUCGUCAUCAUGACUGCAAUAAUAAUUAUAGAAUUUUGAGGUAAAUUUAACCUUGUUACUGAUCAUUGAUAAUUUGAUAUGUAUUUGUACAGAGACCCUACACAAAGACACUUUACAUGCAUACAACACAAUAUAGUAUAAACUACGAAAAUUUAAGAAGAACGUCUCACACAACAAAAGAGUUUGACAUAAAGUAGAAGUCUAAUCAUAGUCUCGACAAACCAGUCUAAACAUCUCUUAGAAGGUGUUAUUUUUAAAUCAAGUAAUUUAAACUCUCCAACUUUCAAGGUGUUACAUCUAAUUCAAUCAAGUAAUCAAAAUCUGAUUUCAAAUAUAAUAACACCCAAAUCAUUCACUUUGAAAAAUGGGUCAAUUCAACUGUAGAACCCAAUUCCGAAAUUGAGGUUUGAAUACGAAAAUAUUUACUUGAAAAUGUUACCCAAUGCAUUUGAAACUCAUUAGUGAAAACUAUUUCGAAAAAGGAAUUAAAAUCAGUUAACAAUCACCAUUUUACCUUAAAACUCAAGUUUUUGAAAAAUCUUGCCAUUUUCCAAUCAAAAUCUCAAGUUUUGAUGUUAAAAAUUCAUAAAUAAUAAAAAGGGAAAUGAAGUUUUAGGGUCACAAAGGCUUACCCAAAUGAUUUAGCACAAGAAAUCUCUUCAAAAUCACCUCUAAGGAUUUUACAAACAUUGAAAUGGGUAAAACCCUAAAAAUAGCAAGCAUAAACCCCCUUCUGAUGUUGCAAAAGCGACCUAUGAUUCGGAAAAGUGAACCACGAAAAAACUCGGCCUUUGCUUUCGCGAAGGUCGCAAUCGUGAAUAGGCCCUCGCUUUUGGGAAGGUUUGGGGUCUCAUCUCCCUCACUUUCGGGAUCUUGGUCUUGCUAACACGAGGUUCGCAAAUGUGAAUAUCCUAUCGCGAUCGCGAAGUAUAACAGACACCAGAAAAUUGCAGCCGUCUCAAAAAUCAUCGAAAGGACCCUUGGACCUCAGGAUUUGUUCGAAAUCCCGUACACAAUAACCAUAUAUAUAAUUUGACGAAAUAUGACGUUUCAAACUCAAUGGAACCAUCGAAACACGAAUCUGAGGUCUCUUUGUUGCAAAACUCGUGAAAGUCACAAGAAAUGAACAUAAUGCCUAAAAAGGAUAAAUCAAACUCGGAACCUCUGAAAAUUCAACCAAGACCUCACCUAGGCCUAAAAUCAUCCCAAAUCGAACGGAACUCUCAGAAUUAUAAUCAGUGCGAACCCUGAAUGUUGACCAAAAUCAACCCAAAAGCUAAAAUUUCACAAAUUUCCAACUAAUUAAUGACCUCAAAUCCUUAAAAAGACUCAGAAUUUAAAACCGACAAUUCUCUUAGAUCAAUUUCCACAUUCCGGAACUGAUGGAAUCAACUGAAUUCUAUUCUGACACUCAAAACUCAAAAAGACAUUGAAAACCAUUUCUAACAAUUUUAGCCUUUUGAAACCAAAAACUUACAUAAUUCACAACGGUUUUACUCAAAGCUUGAAACCAAUUUCAAAACUCAUUUAAAAAUGACUCGGGAUCAAUAUCGAGAGGGGUAAAAAUAGUAAUUUUACGAACAUUUCUAAAAAUGAUCUUCCGGGACAUUACAGAUGCGCUACCCAUAAAUCUAUAUUAAAAAGGUAUAAAUAAAACCUAUAAUCUUUAAUCAUAAAUCCUAUUAAAAAUAAUUUGAAUUUUUAUCAAAAGAUGAAUUACACCACCUAUGCCUAUGCAGAGGACGUUAAAUCACGAAAUACAACAUACUGAAUGGAGUUCUAAUAUAUUUACUUUCCAAGGCAAGAAUGAUACAUGUCAUAGUUUCUUAUCUAUUGAAACAUCAAGUGAGUAAAGAAAAAUUAUUGAAAGACUUCCAUUUGAAUAAUGAAUUCUCCAAGGGGUUGGUUUUCUUAUUUAAAUGAAUACUGACCAUUAGAUUUUGAAAUAGACAUGUCACAAAAUUACAUAUGCACUGGACAAAUUAGAGAGAUCAUGUACUUGAGAUGAGCCACCUCUGACCAUGAUAGGCUAAAAAUACUUAGCUGGAUGUGUAAAUUAUAAAAGAGUUUAACUAUUAUACACCAAUUUAUAAAAAAAAUUGCGUACACAAUUAGUAACUUUGAGGUAACUUCUUAAGUAAUUCUACUUUUUAAUAUUUAAAUAGAGAAGUACUUGACGCAAAUUGUUAGUUUUGUCCUCAAAUUAUUGACAGUUUUAAAAUCACCCAUCUACUUGACUAACUAAAACCUUAGAUAAUCCCCUAUCUGCUACAUGAUAUAGCAAGUGGUUUCAAACUGUUGAAGGAGCAUAGAACUCUUAAUAAAAAGUCAAGAGAAGCUUGAUGAAAAUUAAAGGUGUAUUUCACUCAUGUUGCGAGAUCGAUGGUGUAUUUAGAUCCACUUAGACAAGUAAAAAGGUAUUUUCAAGGCUGUUAAUAGUUUGGAAUGAAACUAAUAAUUCACAUCGAGUUUAGAAGUAAGGAAACUUGGACUCUACUUUAUUCUAUCCAAGCAAUGUUCUAGUUUACCCAAAAUACAGAGGAGGGUCGUCUUACUUUCACGAGUUUCAUCAUCACUAAUUUAGGUAUUUAAUUUCUUCCACACCAUGAAAACAAUUAAUUUCAUAAAUCAUUCGAGUAAUCACUAGAUUGGUUUAGUUUUGAUUUUAAUCAAUGAUCGAUCCAAAUCGAACCACGAACCGCCUUAGUUAUUGUUGGUCAAAGUUAUUGAUUUUGUAAAAAAAAAAGUAUACAUCAUUGGUGCAUAUUAGUUAAAUUCAUUAUAAAAUUUAGCGGAAAUUUCAUAAAUAGCAAAGAGAUUAAACUUAAGAAGCCUCCUUAGCUACAAUUUAUCUUCUUGCGUUUCAUAACUAUAGCUUCGUAUUUUUGCUUGCUAUGGAUAUUCCCAUUUGCAUAAUUCACUUGCCAAUAUACAAAUAUGAUAAGUAUAUACAAAUUAUGUAUUUAUACAAUUAAGAAUUUUUCAGAACUUAUACAAAUUAAAUGUAUCAAUAAGAUAAUUAUGUACAAGCUAGGGUAAGCAUAUAAAAAUUCUGGAUUUUAUACAAUUAGGAGCCUAAUUAUACAAACUCUAGAUGUGAGCCACAUAAUUAUAAUUGUAAAUUAAUGAUGAAUAAUAAUUUAAUCCAACUGUAGCUAUAUUAACUAAUUAACUAGUACAUAUUUAUUUAUCCACAUAAUUUUCCCUAAAAAUAAUGAUGUGGAAUAAUAAUUUAAGUGGGUCCACAUGAUAUAAUUACUUUGAAACCUGCGGUGCACGUGUAAAAUAACCUUGAAGCUAGCACACAUGUCCACGAGUGUUCAUUGUUCAAAUAAAAUUAAAUUCAAAUAGAAAAAUCAAAUUAAAUUUAUUAAAUAAAUCAAUUUUAUUUGACUUUGAUUUAUUUUAUAUUUUUAAAUAGAUAAUAUUUAAUUUAAUUUUGUUAAGAAAUCAAAGAAAUAACUAAAUCGAAUCGACAAAUCAUAUACUUAAUUUUAUUAUUAUAUAUACGUAAUAUAUUAUUAAUUUGAUGUUGAUUUUAAACAACUGAUUCAAAUUGAUCCGUGAACACCCCUAGGCAUGUCAAUAAAGUGGUGUCUACUUCAUCACCUCUCCUACGUACUUCUUAUAUAGGAUAAUAUAUACUCCCCGUGUCCCAGUUUAUAUGAUUACUUUCUUUUUUAGUAAGUCCUCAAAAGAAUGACAUAUCUAUAUAUUAAGUAACAAUUUAAUUUUAAAAUACCCAUUUUACUUUAAGGAAAUGAUUUAUAGCCAUACAAAUAUUUAUCACUUAUUUUAGACCACAAAUUUCAAAACUUCGUAUCAAGUCAAACUAACUCAUAUAAAAUGGGAUAGAGGUAGUAAAUAUUUUAACACUGUUUUAAUAAAGUCUAAUAAAAACAAAAAAAAAAGUUAUCAAAAAUAUGAGUGCAUGACGAAGCAUGUAUUUCAUAACUAUUUUGAUGUCAGAUGCAACAUUCAUGUGAACAUCACUAAAAUCUAAUUUAAUUUUGUUUAACUAAGCUGGUCAUGUUGUGCCUAUAAAUAAAGGAUAUUUUUUGUUUUCUUUCUAUCCAAAUAUCCAAAGCCUUUUAACAAUUCUAAAAUUUCUCAAUGAAGUCUCAGUUCCUCUAUUUGCUCUCGUUCUUUUGGGUAAGAAAAUUAUGUUUCUCUAUUAUAUCCCACAUAUACAGUUGCAUACUUUCUCUAUAAUUAUAUUCUUUGACAAAUCAAAAUAGUCAUAAUUGAAAAACAUCAACUAAUAUUCUACUUAUUGUUUAAUUUAAUGAUAAAUUAUACUGAUUGAAAAUUUAAUUGUUUGUUUUUGUUUAUAUGUAGAUUGCUUUUGUAGAAGCCAUGUAGCGAUAUCUCCAGAAGUUUAUUGGAAAAUAAAAUUGCCCAACACUCAGAUACAGUGAUUAAAGAUGUUCUUCCCCACACAGGUUUAUUAUAAGUUUGCUUAAUUUUGUAUAUAGGACAUAAAAUGACUUCUCGAGAGAAAUAUUAUUUAUCGCAUAAGUCAUUUUUUAUGAAAAAUAUUUUCAAAAUAAGAAAAUGACUUCCAUCACUCUUGGGUGGAAGUCAUACUUAUUAUAACUGCUUAAUGUGUUUGUGAAUUUGAUUUUGUAGAUCAUAAUUCCAAAAGUAAUCAGAAAGUAUAUCAUGGUAACUUCGAUUUUGGACAAUAAUUUUCUUUACAAACCUUACUUCUUCGAAAACGACUUGAAGAAAGGAAAUAUCAUCAACUUUCCCUCUUUCAAUGAUAAAAAUGAUGCACCAUUUUUGCCUCACCAAUCAAUCAUUCCCUUCUCAUCGAAAAAGAUCCCAGAAAUUCUACAUCAUUUCUCAAUCGAUAGUAAGUCAAAGGAUGCUCAAACAAUCGAGCCAGACCACCAUAAAGAGAAGAAAUUUUGUGCAACUUCAUUAGAGUCGAUAGUAGAUUUCAUGUUAUCGGAGCUAAGAACAAAUAAUAUCCAAGCAAUUACAACGGAGGUACAAGGGGAGAGUAGUCAAAUAUUUCAGAAAUAGCGGAUGGGAAUAACAUGGAAUGCCACAAAGUAAACUAUCCAUACGCUGUGCAUUAUUGUCAUGUUGGAGGAAGAACCAAGACAUUAAUUCAUGGUGUUGAUGGAAUAAAAGUCAAAGCACUAUCAGUAUAUAUCUUUUUGGACCCACCCCAAAGGGAUUAGUGCUCAACCCCUAUUUGUCAUUUCCUUCCAAAUGACCAAAUUGUCAUUUUCCCUUCUAAAAAGGCCAUUAAUUAGGCUAUUAUUAUUUGUAUGAAAUCAUUAUAAUUAAGGAAAUGAAUCUGGCUAGCUUCAUGAUAUUUUUUUUGUGUGAUCUGCAUUAUGGAUUUCAUAUAUCUAUUAAAAAACCUUGUGAAAUAUUUUUGAGGUAGAAUUGUCCGUGCAAAAUGAUUCGUCAAAUUGAGCCAACCUUUUGUACACUAUCAUGUUGAAGUUGAGUUGUGCAUUUUUCCAUAAAUGAGAAGUUAAUUUUGCCGCCACCGCAGGGAUCGGAGCAAAAUAUAUGUAUGUUAACCUUAAAAUUGAUUGCUCCAUAAGUUCUCUAAAAAAAGCAUGCAGUGGGGUUACAACCUAUUUAAUAUUCCCAUUGAGGAAGCCAAGCCAUGUUUGAAAACAGGAUGAAUGGUUAUUGUAGUUUAUAUCUUAAUGGCGCCGCUCUGAACUGGAAAAGAGAUAGAUGAAGGUAUGGUUACCACCAUUCUAAUCGUUGCAAAUUUGUGCUUAUUGUAUAUAGAAAAAGCUGAACUGCAUCAUUGUCGUCUUUGCCACUUUUGUACUUUCCUUUUACGUAUGGCGCUGGAGGCUUGGAACUUUAUGCUAAUUUUGUAUAUUUUUGCAUUAUGAUCGCCUUUAUUUAUUACAGUUCAUCUCUUAGCCGACCUUUUGUCCAGCUUCGAUUAAUUUCAAAAAUUCUCCUUUACUGCCUUAGAUCGAAGUUGUGCAAAAUGCCGCCUCAAAUCCAAGUUUAUCGUGCAUGGUACAUUAUUAUUAUCUGAGGAGUUGAGACAUUAAGGGUGUGUUUGGUAUGGAGUAAAAUGUUUUCCUAUUUUCUUUUGUUUGGAUGCAACAAAAUGCUGGGAAAACAUUUUCCUAAACGACUUGUUUUCCUAAAAUCAGCGGAAAACGACUUCCGUAACAAGUCUGCGGAAAUCAUUUUCCGGAAAAGAAGUCGACGCGCAACACAAGCGAAUUUCACCCCAGCCUACGCCCUUGCCCACCCUCAAACGUAGUGAAGGAGCGUUGUUUCUCCAUUAUUUCUCCAGCUUGUUCCUCUCCAAAUUUAGGGUUUCCAUUGUUGUUCUUCUCAUUCAUAUUCCUGUAAGAAUUUCGAAGGUAUGCUUUCAAUAAUUCUUCAAAAUAUUCAUCUUUCACUUGCUUUUCUGCUGAAAUACUUGCUCAUGUGUUUGAAUUUGACUUUACUUGGUGAAUUUAUGCAUUGGAUUCGAUAUUUUUUGGUAAAUAUAUGAAUUGUGGCCUUUUGCUUUCCAUAAGGAUGAGCAAGCAUGUGUUUCAUUGUACUAUGCACAGUUGAAAUAUGUGUGUGGUGUACAGAGAUGAGCAACUGUGCACAAUAAUGUGAAAAACUUCAAGUCUCAACUGUAUAGUGUUAGCUAGAAGCAUGUACUAAUGUAUGGCACGCUGUUUUCAAGUUAUUUUUUGAUUAAAACGACAGUUCGAUACAUAAAAUAUAUUCAUCGUAAAAUUAGAGAUCUUAUUCUAAAGGAUUAUUUGAUAGUGUGUGUAGAAAUAAUAGAAAAAUAUCAAGAUCUAGUGGGGAGGGGUUGGGGGUGAAAGAGCAUAGAAAAUUAUUUUCCUAAAAAAAUUCCUUACUCACCAACCAAACAUUCCUCCCUGGGAUCGACUAAAACAUGGAUGAAAUACAGUUAACUUGACACAAGCAUUAGGUUGAUUUAACGGCUCAAACUUCACCUAAAGCAUUUAAAAUAAGACUCUGUAAAAUACGCUACUAAUUGUCCUCAAAUUCAAUAAAAGAAGAAAAUUCUACUUUUGGUAAUUUUAAUGUUUUUUCACAUUGGGCAUAAAAAUAAAAAUAAAUAUUUAUCCACAUAUUAAUGAACAAAAACAUAUUUUCAUAGUACCCACUUGAGUCCCCUUCGUGUCACCUACUCUCCUUCUUCAGCUCCAAUUUUUUGCUGUAUUUCUUACAGAUCUGAAGGCAGAUUUAUCGGCUAAACUUUGAAGAUUUUCUUUCCGUAAGUUUCAAUGUUUCUUUGAUGGCUAAAGAUUUAAUUUUUCCCCAUUUUUUUCUGAUUAAAUUGCAUACAAGUACUGAAUCUGAUAAAGUAGAAGGAUUGUUCAAGUAUAAAUAUAGCCAUUUUUUCAAUUUUAUAUGUUGUGUACUAGAAUUAUUUCAUAAUUAAUUACUCGUAUUUAUCCUCUUUUAACUUUAUUUCGGUAUUUUCCAUUUCAUGUUCAUUACCUUGUGCAUAUAAGUACUGGAAAAGAUUUUGAAUUUUUUGGAAUAAAACUUUGAAUUGUUGUUCUUCUCAUUCAUAUUCCUGUAAGAAUUUCGAAGGUAUGCUUUCAAUAAUUCUUCAAAAUAUUCAUCUUUCACUUGCUUUUCUGCUGAAAUACUUGCUCAUGUGUUUGAAUUUGACUUUACUUGGUGAAUUUAUGCAUUGGAUUCGAUAUUUUUUGGUAAAUAUAUGAAUUGUGGCCUUUUGCUUUCCAUAAGGAUGAGCAAGCAUGUGUUUCAUUGUACUAUGCACAGUUGAAAUAUGUGUGUGGUGUACAGAGAUGAGCAACUGUGCACAAUAAUGUGAAAAACUUCAAGUCUCAACUGUAUAGUGUUAGCUAGAAGCAUGUACUAAUGUAUGACACGCUGUUUUCAAGUUAUUUUUUUAUUAAAACGACAGUUCGAUACAUAAAAUAUAUUCAUCGUAAAAUUAGAGAUCUUAUUCUAAAGGAUUAUUUGAUAGUGUGUAGAAAUAAUAGAAAAAUAUCAAGAUCUAGUGGGGAGGGGUUGGGGGUGAAAGAGCAUAGAAAAUUAUUUUCCAAAAAAAAUUCCUUACUCACCAACCAAACACUAGAAAUUGUUUUCCGGAAAAUGUUUUCCACUCACUAACAAACAUAAGAAAACAAGUUAAAAAUCAACUUGUUUUCCAAGAAAACAUUUUCCAGGAAAACAUUUUCCUUCAUACCAAACACACCCUAAGAUGUAAGUUUUCUAACAACAGAUCUAGCUACCCUUUUUCCCUGCCUUGCUAUUAAUUAUAUAUGCAGGCUUUGUAAAAAUACUAGUUUUGCAUCUUAGGUAUACAUGCAUGGAUAUAUGAAUAAUCAGAAUAUAUGGGAAAUAAUCAUGUGCGCGCGAGUUUAUAUAAAAGGGAAGCUUUGAUAUUGAAUUCAAAGUCGUCCCGAUCGAAAGAAACUUGUGUCAACAUAUUGUAUCUCUAAAUAAAACUAUUUAUCGGGUUCUCCUUCAAAAAAAAAGAAAAGAGAAAAUGGUCUAAACCCCCCCCCAAACUAUACCCGAAAUCUCAACUACACACUUCAACUUUACGGGUGUCCUAUUACCCGCUUGAACUUUAUAUUUCUCUAUUUUCUACACACCUAAGUGCUGACCUCAACACAUAAACCAAAUAAUUAGGCCUGCGUGAUUCCACGCGCUGGUCCCCCGCCUCUUCAACUCCCAUUUCUUGUUUUUUCCCCAUUCCCUCCUAAAACGUAAACGAACAAAAAAAAUCCUCCUUUCUCAUUUUCAAUCCUUCUCCAUUAGCAAUGCAUUUCUGGUGAUCAUCAAACAAAUUUGCUAUCAUCGAACAAUUUUGUUGUGUAUUGUCAACUUCAUUUCGUAGUUUAUCAACUGAUUUAGUAAAAGGUUAGUUCUUUAUCCCUUAUUUCGAGUUUGUGAUUUAUCCCCUAGGGUUUCUGUUGAUUCGUGAAAUUAAGAGCAACAUUGUGUGAAAUCUUAUGUGUGGCUUACGAUUAUAGUGUUAGGUGUUCAUUUAAUACCACAUUUUUCAUGAAAUUAGGUUUUCCCUUUCUCGUCUAAGUCGCGUAAUUUUGUAUUAUGUUCGUCUUAGUAUUAUGUUCAUGGAGUGUUGUAUUUAUGUUCUUCUUAGUAUUAUGUUCAUAGAGAAGCUGCUACGUUUCUACAGUGUUGUAUUUAUGUUCAUAGAGAAGCUAAGUACUGUGUUGUAUUCUGUUCGUUUGCUAAUGUGUUGUAUUCUGUUCGUUUUUAAGUACUAUUCUAUUUUUUGGAUUGCCCUCAGGUUAGAGUAUGUCUAUAAUUACUGUUCUAUUUUUUUUAUUGCCUUCAAGUAAGAGAUGAAUGGGUUUACUUUGAUUACUCUAAGGUGGUACCAUGGUGGGGUGUUAGAUUUAAGUAGUGGGGAACCAAUAUAUAAUGGUGGAAAAGUUACAGAAUUUUUGGAUGUUGAUGUAGAUAAAAUGCCAUAAUUUGAUUUGAAAGACUAUAUUAGAGAAUUGGGAUAUAGUACAACUUGCACCUUUAGUAUUAAAGCACCUAACAGUGGCAUUUUGGUAGAUAUUGAAAAUAAUAAGGAUAUUUUAGACAUGAUGUGUUUCUUGGAAGAUGGGGAUGAAGUGGAGGUAUUUGUUAGGCAUUUGGUUGAUGAGGCAAUUGUAGGGCCCAUGUUAAUAGAAAAUGGUAGUCAUGUGGAUAUGGGAGAAUCUGGUUCAGCUUUUAAUACAAAAGCCUAGUGAGAGUGAAAACUUUAACUUUGGGGUAGGUGAAGAUCAUUUAAACAGUGAGGACCUUGUUGCUACUUUUUCAACCUCACCUUUUUUCACUACCACACCUCCUUUCAAUACUGCUACUGCAGAUGGUGCUACUGAUGAUGAUAUAGAUGUUGGUCAUGUUGGACCUGAUUUCUCAGAAGAAGAAGUAGAGGGUUCUGAUUACUCAACUGAGGAUAGUGUUGAGUAUGGUAGUGAUGUACAUGAGAAGGUUAGGGAGUUGAGGGAUGAAAAAGAGAAGUUUUCAAAGGAGGAAAAGAAGGGAAAGAGUAGCAGCUGACAAUGAAGAGGUACCAGUAGGUGAAGCUGGACCAGAUCUAGGUUUUGAUGAAACUGAAACAGGUAAAGUAAGUCAUGAAGGAAGGCUAGGAGGUGAUGAGCCUUACUUUGCAAGUUCUGAUGAGAAUAGUUUUGAGUUAGAUGAAGAUGAGUGUUGUAAUGAUGAUUAACAUGAAUCUGGUAGAUCAAGAAGGGUAAAGUUGUCAAGAAAGAGGAGUCCAAAAAAAUCAUUGAUGAUCCUACUGCAAAUAUAGUUGUGUGGCAGUUGGGCAUGGUGUUAAAGAUGUGAAAGAAUUUAGACAAGCAGUAACUAAAUAUGCAGUUAGAAGGAGGGUUCAAGUGGAGAAGUGGGUGAAUGAGCCUAAAGAAAGUUAGAGUUAGAUGCAAAGAUGGUUGUUCAUGGCUUUUGUUUGGAUGUCUUGACAAGACAACAAAUAAUUUCAUGAUAAAAACUUACAAUCCAAAGCAUACUUGCAACAAGACAACUAGAAAUUACUUAUGCAAUGCAAAGUUUUUAUCUGAAGCCUUCAGAGAAAGAAUAACUGAGCAACCAAACAUAAGAGUCUUCAAGUUGCAGGAGAUGAUUAGGAAAAAGUUAAAACUUCAUGUUGGCAAGACUACUGUGAGAUGAGCAAGAGCUAAAGUAUUGAAAGAUAUAAUGGGUGAUCAUGUUGUGGAAUUUGGAAGAAUACUUGACUACAAGGAUGAAUUGUUGAGGACCAAUCCAUGGACCAGUUGUGUUGUAAAAGUUGGUGAACCUAAUGCAGAAGGCAAAUCAAUAUUUCAGAUUUUUUACAUCUGUUUUGAUGCUUUAAAGAAGGCAUGGAUACAUUGUAAGAAAUGCAUAGGCUUAGAUGGUUGUUUUCUUAAAGGUGUUUGUAAAGGCCAACUGUUAGUUGUUGUGGCCAGGGAUGGUAACAAUCAGAUGUUGCCACUUGGUUGGGCAGUAGUUGAAAAGGAGUACAAACACACACGGACUAUGUUUGUCAAGUGCAUAAGGGAUGAUCUGGGACUUGGAGAUGGUGAAGGUCUCACCUUGAUUACAGAUAUGCAAAAGGUAUGUGAAGUUAUUUUGUAAUUUUCAAUUUAUCUAUGUAAUUGUGACCUAAUCAUCAUCUAUUGCAGGAAAUGUCUGUAGCAACUACAAAUGUAUUACCUAAGUGUGAACAUAGAAUGUGUGCUAGGCACAUAUUAGCUAACUGGGUUAAGGAUUGGAGGGGUCUUCAAAGAAGACAACAAUUUUGGAAGAUAGCUAAAAGUACAUUUGAGUCUCAAUUAAGGAACAAUAUAGAGAAGAUGAAGUUGUUAGGUCCAAAAAAAAUGAUGGAUAACUUAAUGUACUAUAACAUUAAUUUUUGGUGCAAAGUUUACUUAAAUACUGAAGUAAAGUGUGACUCUGUAGACAAUAACAUGUCUGAGUGUUUUAAUGCAUGGAUAUUGGCUGCUAGACACAAGACCAUCAUUACUAUGCUUGAAGAAAUAAGAGUGAAGAUGAUGACAAUAAUAGCCAAAUUAAGGGAGUUCCCAAUUACUUGGAAGUGUAAUUUCUUUCCAAUGGCUCUGAAGGUUUUAGAGGAAAACAUUAGUAGGUCUAUGGAUUGUACCAUUGAGUUUAAUGGAGCUGCUGGAUUUGAAGUGAAAGAAGGGCUUUGUCAACACAAAGUGGAUAUUGCUAGGAGAACUUGUAGUUGUAGGGUGUGGAAGUUAAGGGGCAUACCAUGUGCACAUGUUGUGGCUGCAUUAUACUUUAAAAAGUUUUCUCUUUAUGACUAUAUAGACAGCUGCUACAGUAAGGAAACUUACUUGAGGAUUUAUGCCAAUGUUAUUAAACCACUCACAAACAUGGAGAUGUGGCCAGUUUCUACAAACCCUAAUAUUGAGCCACCAGAAAUCACAAACAUGCCUUGUAGGCCACCUAAGGCUAGAAGGAAAGAAGUUGGAGAAACGAAGAAAUCUGGGAAGCUUCCUAGGACUGGACUUGCAAUGACAUGCAGUAUAUGUCAUGUCAGAGGCCAUAACAAGAAAGGGUGUCCUCAAAGAGAAUGUGUUGAAUCAUCAACAAGACAAAGUGCACCAUCACGUACUGCAUCAGUAAGGGCAGAACCAACAGGUUCAGGCAGGGGAAGAGGCAAACCAAAGGUAAUAUUUGAACUUGUUUUACUUUUUCUUAAUUUAUGACUUACUUUAUCUCUUAUAUGUAUAGAAAACUCCAUCAGCACCAUCAGAAGGUGAGCCUCCACUAAAAAGGGGAAGAGGAAGACCAAAAACAACAUCAUCAGUAGCACCUAGUGCACCUCCCCUACCUACUGCACCUAUUGAUUUUCCUGCAUCCUCUUAUGCUCCUCUUACUUAUCAUGCAUCAUCUUCAAUAGAUGGUACUACUAAAAGAGGAAGAGGUAGGGGCAGGGGAAACACAUCUCUAGAGAAAAGACCAAGAGUCAUGGGAAUGGGUGUGUUCUAAGCUGCAAAUGGCUUCAAAGUCAUGAAUGUGAGUCUUUGAUAUAUGUUAACGGCAUAAAUAUUGAAUUAUAAUCCUAAUUUUGUUUAAUUAAACAACUUAAAUAUUGAUAUAAUCCUAAUUUUACUAUAGCCUGGCAUGCCAAGUAGUAAGAUCUACUCUACUGGACAAGCAAAAGUGACAAGAUCAUCUGAUGUAACUGGUGACAUUGGUUAUACACCAAGUAAUACAACUAAGUUGAAAUGGAAUGGUAAAGCAGCAAUCUCAACAAGCAAGCUUCAUGAGCUUAGAGAGAUGCAAAGAAAGAAGACAAUGGGAAGUAGUUCAAGUCAAAAUGACACUUCUUCACAGUCAAAGGUGUCAUGGAAAUUGUAGUGACGUUGAUGUAUUUAAGCACUUUUAAGUUAGUCCAUACAUGUUGCAUUAAUGGCCUGCUAUUUUGGAUUUUGUUUGUUGGUAAAUUUUGCCUUAUGUUGAGGGCUUUUGAAUAUGACAUUAUUUAGGUAAAUUCUGUCUUAUGUGAGGCCUUGUAAAUAUGAUUUUAUUUUGGUAAAUUCUGCCUUAUGUGAGGCCUUAUGAAUAAAUGGUGAUGUUGUGUUUUAAAAUAGUUGUUGUGUUGUCUAUCAAAUUGUAUUGGCUAUUCAGGUGUGCUUACAUAUGUUGUGUUGGUUAUGUGUUUUACAAAUGGUGUUGUGUUGUCUAUGUUGAAGUAUGAAUGGAUGACUAGGUUGUUGGGUGUUGAUGAAGUGUUGCAUAUUAAUACAAGCUUCAAUUGACAUCAUAGAUACAAAAUGACACACAUACAUUAGCAAUUUUAAUUAAACAUAACAACAAUACAAAUCAAAGAGAAAUCCAAAUAUGCAGCACUUGAACUACUGGUUGCUGAUGAACAUAGCAACAACACAAAUCAAAUACACAAAAGUGUCUUCCUAUUGAACCUACAUCAUUUCAACCUUCUAUUGAGUCUCCUCUCCAAUAACAAAUUAGAGUUCCUCAAGUUGUCAAUAUGAACCUAUCUAAUACAUAAUUCUUGCUCCAACUCAUUGAUUUUGUUCACCAAUCUUGGAAGGAAAAAACUUGAUCUUGGAUCCACUUCUUCUUUGUCCCUCCAUCGAAAAAAUUUGCAAUUUUUAGACUGAAAAUGAUCCAAAAUAGUACAUUAGCAUAGUUCAAAAUAAAGUGUAGCAAGCAGGGGUGGACCCACGUGGUAUCCAGGGGGUUCACCCGAACCCCCUCAGCAAACUAUUACACCUUAUAUAUAAGGUAAAUUUUAUGUAUUUCUGUAGAUAUAUAAAAUUUGAACCCCCUCAAAAACAAAGAGAAAUUGAUGGUGCUGUGGCAAGUACCCCUGAAAUAAAGUUCUAUGUCACUGGUUCGAAUCCCACUGAAAGCAUUUUGUUUUUUUCUUAUUCAGUUUUUUUAGUUUUUUUUUUUAAUUUUCAGUUCUGUUUUUCAAGUUUUUUUUUACUUUAAAAAAUGUGUUAAAAGUUUGGUUUUAAACCCAAAAGAAUUCAAGGUUUUCAUUUCUAAAGUCUUAUUUACACGUUUAUACUUUUAUUUUUCGAACUCCCUGGAAAAAAAAUUUGAAUCCGCCACUGGUAGCAAGAAUACAAGAAAAAACACAUACACCAUAGCAUGGGCAAGACCAAAAUCUUCUUCCGGAUUUAAUUUUGACCAAGAAGUUUGCAAAUUCAGCAAAAUUCUGUGUUUGCAUCUCACUACAGCGUUGAGCAUUGAGUCUGAUUCAUCCAUACAAAGCUUAUUCAAGUUUUCAUUUGCCAUUUUUGAUGAAUUUCGAGAAAAUUCAAAUUAGAGAUCUAAAUAAGAAAUUAGAGCAGAUUACAAACCCUAAAUUCAAGAUUUGAAGUAGAAAUGAACAUUAACAACUAAACCCUACUUAAUUUUGAGAGGAAAAUGUGAUUUUUUAUAAAAGGAACAAGGGUUAAUGGUGGGGAAGAAGAAAUAAUGGUUUAUUUAAAGGUGAGGAAGAUGAUCGUUGGAGAAGGAGGAAUUUUUCGUCAAAAUUAACCUUCUAACGCGCCUAGAGGAGGUGAGAACACCUCCCAUGAUAGGUCAGCCCUUAGGUGUGUAGAAAAUAGAGAAAUAUAAAGUUCAGGUGGGUAAUAGGACACCCGUAAAGUUGGAGUGUGUAGUUGAGAUUUCGAGUAUAGGUUGGGGGGGUUUUAGACCAUUUUCUCAAGUUAGGCAUAAUACAUAAAUAUUUCCUUUAACUUGGUCUUAUUUCAUAUUUAUGCCUUUAAUUUUGGGUGUGCACAAAUAGACUCUUAGGGGUCGUUUGGUAGAGUGUAUUAGUAAUGCUUGCAUUAGUACUGUUUAUAUUUGUUUUGCUUGCAUUAGUUAUGCAUAAAUUAUUUCUUAUGCAUUGUUUAGUUUGGUGUAUUAAAUAUAGUAUGCAUUGUAUAAAAUUAUUUAUUUAUAAAAAUAUCCUCUACAAUUAUGGUGGAAAAGAUGUAAAAGUGUUUUUUAUGGAUAAUUGACGAGAUUUCGGAUAUAGGUUGGGAGGGUUUUAGACCAUUUUCUCAAAAAGAAAAAGAAAAUUGUACUACUUUAGUCUUUGUGGUUCCCAAUUCUAACUAAUGGAGGCAAACUACUACUGUAUUAAAUCUCAUUGUCUUUAGUCGUGUUUUAAGAAAAGGCAAUUUUUAAUCCUUGAUAAAUUAAAGAGAUUUAGUUUUUUGUCUACCUUAAAAUUGAACAAAUGUAUUCAUUUGGUCUUUGGUUAUUUACUGGACUGUAAAUUUAUGAACAUUGUACUCUCAAAAGUGUUAGGUAUUUGUAGUUAGAGUUUGACUAUUUCGAUUUGCGAUGGCGUAGGGCAACAAUCAGGGGAACCACUUUCUACAGUGACACAUUUUUCUAAAAAAUUAACAAUGUCAUUAAUUUUAAUUCAAUUAGAUUCUUGAAAUAUCUGGAAAAUUUGUUAGCAUAUUGAUUAAAAAUUGUAGUUAAAGGAACUCUAUGAAUAUUGUAAGUUCUUAAAAAAUAACUUUUUAAAAUUUUCAAAAACACUUAUUUUUAUCCUAAAAAUUUGGUCAAGCACUUCAAUUUUUAAAAAAAUCUAUUUCUUUUAGAAAAAAAAUCUUAUCAAAAGCAUGAUCAAAGAUAUAUUUUCAUGACCUUUUUGAUGUCACAUGUAACAUUCAUGCCUAUGUAGAAAACUAAAAUUUAAUUCUUAUAGUUAAAGCAAAAAAGUAAGCUUAUCAAAAGCAUGAUCAAACGUAUAUUUCAUGAUUUUUUGAUGUCACAUGUAACAUUCAUGCUUAAAAUAUAUGAAAAUCACUAAAAAUCUAUUUCUUAUAGAAAAAAUAAAAAAAGUAAUUUUAUCAAAAGCAUGAUCAAACGUAUAUUUGAUGACCUUUUUGAUGUCACAUGUUACAUUCAUGCCUAAGAUAUAUGAAGACCACUAAAAUCUAAUUUUGUGCCUAUAUAUAGGAUAUUUUCUGUUCUCAUUCCAUCUAAAAUUUCAAAGCCCUUCUAGCGAUUCUAAAAAAAUUUAAUGAAGUCUCAGUUCCUUUACUUGAUCUCAUUCUCUUGGGUGAGUAAAUUCCCACUUAUAUAUGUGAUUUUUCCUCUAUUAUAUCUCACAUAUAUAGUUAUAUACUGAUAUCUGACCUUUAUAUUACAUUGAUUGAAAAUUUAAUCGUCUCUUUUUUUUAUAUAUAUAUGUAGCUUGCAUUCAUAGUAAGUCAUGCAGCAAUAUCUUCAGAAGUUUAUUGGAAAGUAAAAUUGCCCAACACGCAGAUGCCUAAAGUGAUCAAAGAUUUUCUUCCCCACACAGGUUUUUCUUCAACUCCACGCAUUUUGUUUUAACAUUACGAAUCUGUUUAAUUUUAUUUAUAUCACAUAAAGUGACUUCUCUAAAAAGUACAUUGCUAUGUAAGCCAAUUUGACCUUCUACUCAUGAGAGCUUAAUUUGUAGAUCAUAACUUCAACAGUAAUCAGAAAGUAUACCGCGGUAACAUCGAUUCUGGACUGGUGCCUUGGCAUCAUGAUGCUACGGAGGAAGAGAUUCGUGAAUUGAAAGACGAUCAAAAAGUAUACCGCGGUAACAUUGAUUCUGGACUGGUCCCUUGGCAUCAUGCUACUACAGAGCAAGAGAUUCAUGAACUGAAAGACAAUGACAAUAAUUUUCUUUACAGACCUUACUUCUUCGAAAAUGACUUGAAGAAAGGAAAUAUCAUCAAUUUUCCCUCUUUGAAACAUAAAAAGAGGAAGAGAUUCAUGAAUUGAAAGUAUAUCGCGGUAACAUUGAUUCUGGACUGGUCCCUUGGCAUCAUGCUACUACAGAGCAAGAGAUUCAUGAACUGAAAGACAAUGACAAUAAUUUUCUUUACAGACCUUACUUCUUCGAAAAUGACUUGAAGAAAGGAAAUAUCAUCAAUUUUCCCUCUUUGAAACAUAAAAAUGAUGCACCAUUUUUGCCUCGCCAAUCAACCAUUCCCUUCUCAUCGGAAAAAAUCCCUGAAAUUCUAAAUUAUUUCUCAAUCGAUAGUAAGUCAAAGGAUGCUCAAAUAAUCAAGGAAACAAUCAAUUUAUGUGAAGAGCCAGAUCUCCAUAAAGAGAAGAAAUUUUGUGCAACCUCGUUGGAGUCGAUGGUAGAUUUCAUGUUAUCCGAGCUAGGAACAAACAAUAUCCAAGCAAUUACAACAGAGGUAGAAGGGGAAAGUAGUCAAAAAUUUCAGAAAUACACUAUGGAAAAAGUUGAACAGAUAGCGGAUGGAAAUAACAUGGUAUGCCACAAAGUUAACUACGCGUACGCUGUGCAUUAUUGUCAUGUUGGAGGAAGAACGAAGACAUUCAUGGUAUCUAUGAUAGGUGUUGAUGGAACAAAAGUUAAAGCACUAUCAGUAUGCCACCAAGAUACAUCUUUUUGGACCCCAAAGGGAUUACCUUUUGUAAUGCUCAAUGUUAAGCCUGGAACUACCCCUAUUUGUCAUUUCCUUCCAAGUGAUGAAAUUGUUAUUUUCCCUUCUAAAGAGGCCAUUAAUUAGGCUAUCUCAUAUUUAAACUUAAUAUGUUGUGUGAUUACAGAAUCAUGCUAGCUAUUAUUUGUAUUAUGUCAUUAUGAUUAUGAAAAUGAUUCUGGUUUCAUGAUUUAUUUAUUUAUUUAUUGUGAUUUGCAUUAUGGAUUUCGAGAUUUAAAGCUUUACAUGCAAAAUGAUUCGUCAAAACAACGUCCAUUGUUUGGGGUGGGAGCUAGCAUCAGUUGAUUCUAUGCUGAAAAUUGAUAUUUCCUAAAACAUAUAACUAAAAUUGAAAUACUUUAUUAGUUGAAUCGAAACAAAGCUUAUGGAAUAUCCUAAGGGAGUGGUCAUAUAUUAAGCCAAAUGGCAUUUGGAUGUUACACUUUCUCCAAUCAUGAGUAAUGUACAAAACUAAAACUAAUUACAAUCAGCAUAACAAAAAAGCUCAACUAACAUUAAAAUCAAAGAAAAAUAGAUAUGAGACUAUAUAUAUAUAUAUCAGCAAAUAUUACAAAAGAGAUUUGAGGCCUGUUUUGAAACUGUAACUUGUACUUGAUCCUGGAAAAUCAAGUCCAAACAUCUCUUUAGGACCUUUUCCUGGUUCCAUGAAGCCAGCUAGCUUUGCUACCAAGUAGGCACUAUCUGCAAUGUUGUUCAUAUCAUCUGUUUUACUCCACAAUUUCUCAGCCAACUGUAACCUUCUUCUUUUGCUAUUGAUCCCAAUUCCCCACUUAACGUAUAUCCCUUCUCGUUCUGCUUCGCUUAACUUUUUCUCCAUUUGCUUGCUCAGUAUCCGUCUCUCCUCUCGAAUUUCUUUCUUGCUGUGAAAAUGGAAGACAUCAUAAGUAAGUAUACAUAUAAAUGGAUAAAUUAUGAACAAUUCAUUUUCAUAUGAUAUCUAUUUGCAAGGAAACACCGUGAAAUGAAGUUUCAAGUAUAUUACCUUCCCUCGAGUGACAAAGUCCUACCACUGGAAACGGUUUUCUCACCACGUGAAAAUGUGUCCUUAAGGGAGGUUAAUCUUCUAAUUUCAACCUCCAUAUAUAUAGCAUCUGUUGAAUCACCUUGGAAGAGAAGGAAGAAGUAUGAUCUGUGUGCCAAGGAUACAUUACAAGUAUGCCAAAGUUCAAUAAUCUCUUUUUGAAGUCUCUUGAAUUCGGAGGGCCAACUGUAACGACUUUUGUAAUCAUCUUCUGCUGGCUCAGCAUCUCUCACGCUCUUUGAAGUUGUAUCAUGUUCUGGUUCAGCCUCCUGAACCUGUGACAUACAAGGAUAAAUCAUUAACAAAUUAAAAUAAGAUUAGGUUCCCUCUAUUUCUGCAUUAAACAAUGGACAUAAGUUGCACCUAUAAUCCAGAAUCCAGUAAGUAAUAGAAAUUGUGAUCCAGAACACAUAAACUAAAAAUCCUGGAUUCGCCUCCAAUAUAAUGUUAAAAUGAAGGAUGUAAUCUUCUAGUCAGCACCAUCAAGGUACGGUACGAAUGCAUAUAUCAUAAUCUCAAGGAAUAUCAUCUGACAGUACCAAAUGCAAGUUUCUAUUAGAUUCCGUUAUUAAGUGAAGACAUCUGCAUAAAUAUUUCUGAUAGGAACCUUCUCAUUCCAGAUAAAAGCAAAUGUGAAAGAAAGGUCUUCCUCUAAGGAUCUAGAAGUAUCAACCAGUAAACUGAGGAUAUAAGUUUUUGUCAUCCACCCGCAUGAAUGAUUGGAAUACGAAAACAUAAGACUAGAGAAAUGUAAAAAGUUGCUUUCUAAGAUGAGAGAGUGUACUCACCGGACAAUCUUUGACACUCGUUUUAUGUUGAAGCUCAUCCAUUUUCUUCGUCCUUGCAUUGCAUGCGCCAUCAGCAUCUUUGACCUCCUCAUCAGUUAAAGGUUUCCUUUUUGGAACUUCAAGUUCAAUAUUAGUGGAACCAUUUCUUGAAGAACACUUAACAUCAGUUCUUUUGGAUUCCUCUGAGCAUGGAGAAUAUCGAUCAGUAAUUAUGCUAGCUUUGCAACUUGUACUUUUACAUAACUUCAAAUUUCUAUUGCAUGAUAAAUCAUCAUUAAGAUCACAUGGUGAGGAUAAUUUUUCUGGAGGAGCAUUUGAGGAAUGAACACAAUCUGAAUUUUUCUCUUCUUUUAACAACAAUGUCACGGGCGGCUCUUUGUUGUCCUUGCACUUUGGUGAUUCAAGGGCUUGCCCAAUCCCUAAGGGAAAUGACAUUGUAUCUGUAUUGGACUUCCUACCUUCCUCGAAAAAUGAUGAUGACACCGAUUCUUGGUCUUCUUUAAAGUGUGAUGAUUUCGACUCCCCAUUUUCCUUGUAUGGAGAUGUCACUGAUCUUCUGUGUCCAUUUUCAAGAUGUGAUAUUGUUCCGUGAUUCGUUCUCUCCCCAUUUAUAAUGGUUAGUAAAGCUGGAAAGCCACCAUUUUCUUCAGGAAGUGAACAAUUGAAUACUUGUGUUCCCUUCAUACUUGAUUCGUCUGUUCCAAUGCAACGAACUUCCCUGCAUAAAUCUUCAGAAGUCUCAUUACUUUGUUUUUCAGCUUCAUCCCAUCCCGGACAUGAAUCAGUUCUGCUAUUAUUUGAACUGCCAACUAAUAGCAUUGGAAAUGCAUUGUUGCGAAAGAUGGUUUCGUCAAAUUCUGGCACAUGUAUAAACUGAUCCUCAGAGUUACACCUGCUAUGUCCAAUUGAACGUGCUCUAACAUCAACAUCUACGUAACGAGUGUCUCUCAAAAUGGAAAUCUGUUGCAUUGGGCUUUGAUAUUCUGGUGAUCUCUUCACACGUAAAUUUGGGUAGUGUCCGAAACCAACCUGUGAAAUAUGCGAAAAAAGUAUCUUUAGCAUAGAAUAAGCAAAUGUAUAAACUAGUAGAGUCUAUUAAAUUCCAUCUACCUGUAUUACAUCAUCCCCAAGCAGCUUCAACAGAUCUUUAACUUGACUCUGAGCGAUGUCGCGUUGCAAAAUUAAGUCCUUUAUCUCCUUCUCCAGCUAUAGGAGAAGGAAAAAUUGAUCAAGGAUUCAAGAUGUCAAACAGCAGUGCAUUUGUAAAAUAAUCAGGAUAAUGAACUUGUAAUUUAAGUCGAUAACGAUGAGAGACAUCAUAUAGCAUGUCAGGGGUAAUGAUAGACAUGCUUCAUUUACGAAAUAAAACAACUAUUAACAUCCUCGAUAUAUAAUGGAAGGUACAUCUGAAAAUCUCAAUUAUCUGUAUACUUCUUCCGUCAUUGAAUUUGGACCUUCAACUGUUAUAUUAGUUUAGUAUAUGAUGACGUUUAUUUUGUUCUUGUACCAAAAUUGUGCCUUCCAUAAAAACAGAUUACCUUAACAUGUUUGCAAAUACUUAUUUAGUGUCAUCAAGAUGCAUUACCUGUUGUAUUUGAUGGUCCUUCUCUUGCAGUAAUGCUUCGUAAUCUGAAGGGAAUAUGCAAGCUCUGGGAUACCUUAACUCACUUUCCAAUCUUGCCAACUCCCUCUGCAAAUGCUUCACUAAUGUUUUAUCUGACAUGACGAUAUUCGCUUGGGCAUUUGUAGUUACUUCCUUGGCACAACUUGCAAACAGUAGAGUAUUCCUUGUUUGAUCAACAUGACUUCGUGCAGGGCAAAUUGUACAGAUGAUGGCAGUUCUACCGUUGCCACCCAAUGAUGGCUGUAAUAUCCGCGUUAGCUUUGAAUCUCGGAAAGGAAUGUGGCCGGUCCUGUCCUUGCUGCAUUAAGUAAACAAAAAACUUGAAAUAGUUUCACUUUCCAAAUUCAUCGACAGUGAUCAAAGGCGGUAUCUCAUGCUUAAAACUGGUUUCCAUUUCAGAUUUUGAUGCAACUGAUUAGAAAGUUAUGCAUAAUGUACAACUUUAAGUCUUUAACACAAGCAUAACAGGAUUUAAGCCCUUCUUAUAGACCUGUUUAAUAAUCAUGUUAAACUCGAUUAAGACUGCAAGAAAAUUAAACAACCUUAGCUUACGAAUAACAGUGCCAAGGGUCAGUAAACUGCGGUUUAUGUGACAGCCUUCUUUCAGCCUUGUACCAGCUGACAAUGACUGAGAUGCCCGCUCACUUCCAGCCAAAUCGACAAAAUUCUGUGUUCAAAUGAUAAAACAAUCAGUUGUUACCUCAGUACAUUAUUAUAUCAACACUCUAUACUGUUCGGCAUGAGAGAAACAUUUCCGUACCACAGUAGCUAAAAGGGUACUCGAAUCGUUGUCCCUGCCUAUGUGCUCACCAGCAGAACUUUCAAUUGUCUGCAACAACUUAUACGUCAAAAAUCUGGUGUUUUUAAAGCUCAAUAGCCUGUUAGACAAGAAAUUUCAGCUGUUUUACCAGUCUGAUGAUUUGGUGAGAUCUAGAGCUUGUUUCAUUCAAGGAAGUCUCCCCAAUCUGUCUCUGAGCUGCAACAUUUAGUCGUAAAAUUCAAAACCAUGGUUAUGUUUAAAAUUCAUGGUUACUCAUUCUCUUACCUUCACAAAUAGAAAGGAGAUGAAUCACAUGGCUCCAGUCCCUCAAUGUUUCCUCGGUGAGUUUCUCAAUCACAGUCCCUCUCUGUUGAAAUUACUCUACAUGAUUUUAGAACGAGACAAAAGAACACAAAAUGACUAGUAACUUUGUUGAUCAGUAAAUCAAACUAAUUAACCUCUGGAUCAUCUAGAAGACGGAGUGGAGUGUUAUCUUCACUAAGGAGAUCUCGGACAGAUUCAUUGUAUAUCUCCAUAGCAGAAAACUUCAAAACAAAGUCUCUUUCUGUGUGCUACAACAAGUAGUAAAUUUUGAUCAUUAGAGCAAAGCCAAAACUCUUGAAACAUAAGAAGUGGUGAACAGACAACAUAAUGAUCGAUCAUGAAGUAGCAUUUGGUUACCUUGUUCACGUAUUCGUAGAUAUCUGCUAUAGCAUAUUCAGUUAUUCCAGUCAUAGUGUAUGUCUUUCCGCUGCUUGUUUGUCCAUAGGCAAGAACACUUGCUAGUCGAUACAUAAAUAAUUUCCGAUUAAUAAUACAGGACAUGGACUAGAUGUUCCAAAAACUAUAAGCAGACACAGCUGAAAUUACUCACAAUUGAAUCCUUUGACAACCGAAAGAGCAACUUCUUUAGCUGCUUCUUCAUACACCUGUCUUGUCGAGCAAUCACUGCUAAAUACCCUGUCUAAAACAAAAUCAUAAACCAAUAACGUCCACACAGAGAAACUAUGUCAUUUACUUGAUUAACAUGUGAUAAUAUCGUAAAACAGGAUUUGUUGAUGCUACAAGCAGAACUCUUCCCAAACUUGGAUUAUUGAUCAAUCACAGUUAAAUAAAUACCAUUAAGCUGAAGCCUCAUUUAAGAAUUCCAAAUUAAUAAUCCUAUAAGUGGGAUCUGGAAGGCUAAAGUGUACUCAAACCUUACCCCUACCUCGUGGAGGUAGAGAGGCUGUUUCAAAAGACCCUCAGCUCGAGUAAUCAACGUACAUCAAAGCAGUCCAAAUUAAACAGAACGAAGGCAAAAACUUCAUAAUAUAAACAACUAUCAUCAUUUGUAGAAUUAGCAUAUGUAUUCGAUUAAAUACUGAAAAAUGUAAGAACAUACCAAAGGUAUAUGCAGAAGGAUACAUUAUACGUUCGGAUGGAGAAGAGCUAACAUUGUUGUAGAUAAUAGUUGUGUGAUUCAUACAUUCCCAAUCAGAAACAUCAUUUCUCUCUUUUUCAUUCAAUGUUCUUAACCUCGCGGAUACAUAAAUCCUCUCUUCACGAUCCUCCAUUUUAUUUUUUCUCUAAACCAAAAAUCUCAUUAUAUUAUUGGAAAUGAUCAUGCAUUCUCAAAAAUAAAUUGGAUGUAUUUUCUUAUAAAAAUUAUGGUCCAAUUUCUUACAAUGUACGUAACGAUAAUAUUUAAGAAGAUCAAUUAAUUUUUUGAGUAUAUUUUUUUUUGUUUUUCUGGUAAAUUUGAUAUGAUAACGUUUGAAGAAACAAGAACCUCUCUCUUUCUCUUUUCUCCUUUGGUUGGAAAUUUGAUAAUAACAGAGAAAAAGAGAAAGAGAAGGAAAUAGAUAUAAAAUAACAGUAGAGAAUAUAUAUAAGGAUUGAAUUUGAGAAUCACAGCAUAAAUAAAACUAAAAAAGGCAGAUAGAAAGUUUCUUUUUUUCUUCUUUUACCGAAGAAAAAGGGAAGUUGGGUUUUUUUUUUUUUUUUUUUUUGCCUAAUUUGUCCUAAUUUCUCUUCUUUUUCUUUCCUUUGUGUUUUGCAGCAAAACUAAACCGUGAAAUUAUCGCCAGACAUUUCAUUUGGAACGUUAUUUAAGCAAAUAGCCUUCUGAAGGCUAAAGUAGUACUUGUGGAUUUCGAAAUUUAAACAACUCUAUUUUCUUAUACUAAAUUUUUCAUAUAUCUUUUAAUUAUUUUGAAUUGUCAAUUAUUGUGACUUGUAGUACUUUUUACGUAGUUUACAAAUAUAUAAAUUUCAUUUCAAAAAAAUUGAAGAUUCCAUGCACAAAUUUCUGAUCAAACUUAAAUUGUUUGACUCUCAAAAAAUAAAAAGUGUCACAUAAAUUAAGACAGAGGAAAUAGUAUGUUUUAAAAUUCUAUAAAUUAUUGCAAGCAUUGGUCUUAUAUUUUAGAGCUCAAUGAUUACUCAAAAUAUAUCUAAUUGGCUAUCAAAUUACUCAUGUUUAUUGUCUUUCAAAAGUCGUACGUAAAUUUUUUGAAAUAAACUUUUGAGCAACCAACAAGUUGUAACUCUACAUCUCUAACACACAAGUUUAAGAGGACCUGAAGGCUUAGGGUAAACCCUCCCGAGAUUCAUGAGCGAAACUCUUUUCCUUUUAACUGCAGAUUUAAUAGCACCAAUUAUAAGACAGGAUAAGGCAAACCUUCACGUAAAAAGUCUCAAAUAACUUUCGAUUCAAAUAUAAUUAGUUUCUUUCUGUAUACAUCAUUUUCAUAUUAGUAGAAAGCAAGCUUUCAAGAAUUUAAUUUGCACAUACAAGCAACUUAUAAAAGAUUGAACUAGUAUUGUUGGGGUUCUCAAUUAAGAGAAACCCUCCAAAAAUUGGCGUAUGCCACUAUUUGCAACGCACACACGGUAUUCUUUAGUAAAAGGCGAAAGAAUAGUUCGCUAUGUGUUCAUUGCGUGGCUGCGUGAUUUUGUUAGUUGGCGCAGGAGCUAGUUUUAUAGUGGUUUCUGCUUCUACUUCUUCAAUUGUAGCCGAUGUGGGACUAAUAUAUCACUAUGAACAUGGGCUUUCUUGGGCCGUAGCAUACUUCUCUUAAAAUGGGCUGUUGGGGAUUUCAUGCUGGAAAUAGUGUGGCCAAAUGACUGGGCCUUCAACAUGAGUUGGAAAAUAUAUGGGAAAUUACAUUUUUCUUUGAUUACAUAAACGUGUCAUUUAACUUGGUAGGUGUUUGGCUAUGAGAUAAAAUCAGUGUUUGGACAUGUGAUUUCACGUUGAUUUCAUAUCAUGAGAUGAAAUCCCAAAUCUCCCAUGGGAUUUUUCAAAUACAAAAAAUUGACUCACAAGUUUAGAUUUUGUAAAAAUAACUCAUAUUUAAUUUAUAUAUAUCUACUAGUCAUUUGUUUCAUAUGUAAAUAAAACUUAUAAUUCAUAUUAUUACUUUUUAAACCGUUUAUAUCUCAUAUAACGAUUAUUCUCUCCAAUAUAAAAUUAUUUUUGCUUCAAAUCAAUUCUUAAUUUACCAUUUACAUUCACCAAAUUCAUUAUUUCUUAUCAAAUUUAUUACUACUUCAUUCAAAUCAAUGUUUCAUAAUAAUUAAAAAAAUCAUCAUUAUAUUGAGUGGACAAGACUAAUCACUGUGGCAUUAAUUGCAAAAAUAAUUUUCUUAUCUACUAACAACUUGAACACUACAACUUAUGUUCAAUUUUUAUUUUAUUUUAUUGAAUUAAGGUUUGAUCAAUAAAUGUUGUAUGUUUUUAGAAUAGCUUUGUGAUAAUGUAUAGUGCAAUUUAUAAACUUUUGUUUAUUUGGUAAGAUUGUAUAAACAAUUGGGACAAUAUUGAUAGUUUUACAAUUUAUGGAAUUUUUAUGUUUAUGAGAAAAAUACAACAUAAAAAGUCCAAAUCGUAUGUCCAAACAAAACUUCAACUUCAUCUCAUAAUUUCAAAUCGCCUGUCCAAACGGGUCCUUAGUUUCAACUUACAUUUAUGUCUUCUAACUUUGGGUGUGCAAAUUUAGGCACUUAAACUUGUACAAAUUGAACAAAUAGACACAUUUGUCUUAUGUGGCAUCCUACAUGGCAAUUUGUGUCCUACGUGGUAUCCUACGUAUAUUAUGUUAUGUAGAAUUUAUGUGUCUACUUGUUCAACUUUACACAAAUAUAAGUGUCUACUUGUGUACACUCAAAAUUCGAAGACAUAAAUAUGAAAUAAGGCAAAAUCAAAAGGCACGUUUAAAUAUUAUGCUUACUUUAAUUAAACGUGGAGAUGCAAGGUUAAACACAAAAACUCUUAGAAUGUGAAAUAAAUCUCAUUCUAAGUAUAUUCAUUCCUAAAAGAAGGUCAAAAGCAAAGAGUCGAAAUUACUUCUUUUUUUCCCACAGUGAGAAAAGAAUUUUCCAUCUUAUAAUUAGUUACUUUAUCUUUUAUUGAGGUGGAUAUAAUUUUUUCUUGGAUUAUCGAGGAAAUUUAUUAAUAUCUAUAAGCUUUAAAUCAAGUGAAUAAAGUUGAUAAGAAGUACAAAUAAUAGUAUUACAUAGGUAAAUCUCAUAGUUGUUUUGCUAAAGCCUUAACGAAUGUUAGUUAAUUUAUAAAGAGUGCUAAUUGUUUGUAAAAAGAAAUAUUUAGCAGCAAUUAAACUAUUAUCAGUGAAGUCAUUAAGGGUCCAAAGUUUCAGGGAAAACAUAGAUAGGCAGAUAAUGUGUUUACAAAUAUAUAUGCACCAGAGAAAUUGAUUUUAUGGCAUUUGGCACACUGCUUGUUAAUCUGGAGAAGAAUUCAAUGAAUAGCAUAAAACUGAAACUCAGUAGCAUGAAUGUCAAUAAUUGCUAAAGGUACAUGUUAUAUGAACAAAGACAAGACAAUAUUCUUGAGGAGCUAGCUAUGAGCUUUUAUGCACCGCGAACUCGAUCAUGAAAACAUGCAGUAGUACAUAUAUACUUUCUAAUAUCUCAGU
rnacentral:lncRNA from 1 species